GGGCCAAUACUGACACUGAGGAGCGAAAGCGCGGGGAGCGAACAGGAUUAGAUACCCUGGUAGUCCGCGCCGUAAACGAUGGGCGCUAGUUGUGGGGACCUUCCACGGUUUCUGCGACGCAGCUAACGCAUUAAGCGCCCCGCCUGGGGAGUACGAUCGCAAGAUUAAAACUCAAAGGAAUUGACGGGGACCCGCACAAGCAGCGGAGCAUGCGGCUUAAUUCGACGCAACGCGAAGAACCUUACCAAGGCUUGACAUAUAGCGAAAAGCGGCAGAGAUGUCGUGUCCGCAAGGGCGCUAUACAGGUGGUGCAUGGUUGUCGUCAGCUCGUGUCGUGAGAUGUUGGGUUAAGUCCCGCAACGAGCGCAACCCUCGUUCUGUGUUGCCAGCAUUUAGUUGGGGACUCACAGGAGACUGCCGUGGUUAACACGGAGGAAGGUGGGGAUGACGUCAAAUCAUCAUGCCCCUUAUGUCUUGGGCUGCACGCAUGCUACAAUGGCCGAUACAAAGGGCUGCAAUACCGUGAGGUGGAGCGAAUCCCAUAAAGUCGGUCUCAGUUCGGAUUGAGGUCUGCAACUCGACCUCAUGAAGUCGGAGUUGCUAGUAAUCGUAGAUCAGCAACGCUACGGUGAAUACGUUCCCGGGUCUUGUACACACCGCCCGUCACGUCACGAAAGUCGGUAACACCCAAAAGUCAGUGGCCCAACC
rnacentral:rRNA from 1 species